rnacentral:lncRNA from 1 species
CAUCUACUCUCUUAUCCGACACGACAAAACCUCCGAUAGAAUGCUGUUGGUGAAGUUGAGCUGAUAAGCCUUCGGGGGUCGAGCCUUUCUCUGGACGCUCACACGCUUAGCCGACGGUCCCCUCGACGCAGUGCGGAAGGAAACCCUCGCGGGGAAAGAAGGCUGCCGCUGCGAUAGCGUCUACACUUGCAGCAACAAGAAAGCAUGAAG